rnacentral:rRNA from 1 species
GAUGAACGCUGGCGGCGUGCCUAAUACAUGCAAGUCGAGCGAACAGACGAGGAGCUUGCUCCUCUGACGUUAGCGGCGGACGGGUGAGUAACACGUGGAUAACCUACCUAUAAGACUGGGAUAACUUCGGGAAACCGGAGCUAAUACCGGAUAAUAUAUUGAACCGCAUGGUUCAAUAGUGAAAGACGGUUCUGCUGUCACUUAUAGCUGGAUCCGCGCCGCAUUAGCUAGUUGGUAAGGUAACGGCUUACCAAGGCAACGAUGCGUAGCCGACCUGAGAGGGUGAUCGGCCACACUGGAACUGAGACACGGUCCAGACUCCUACGGGAGGCAGCAGUAGGGAAUCUUCCGCAAUGGGCGAAAGCCUGACGGAGCAACGCCGCGUGAGUGAUGAAGGUCUUCGGAUCGUAAAACUCUGUUAUUAGGGAAGAACAAAUGUGUAAGUAACUAUGCACGUCUUGACGGUACCUAAUCAGAAAGCCACGGCUAACUACGUG